AAAGGCAGGCUUUCUGGGUGUCUUCGCCUUCUUCCGACUUUCUCAGCUUUGAGGCUCCGGCGAAGCACUGUUGAUUUUUCCACACUGUAUCGAAGCCUUCCCUGUUCUGUAGUUUUGAGAAACACAGGUUUUCAUGGCUCCACUCAUUGGUUCGGUUUCUACAAGUUAUUCUGGAUGAGACACCUCUGAAAGACCAUGGACACUGCUAUCUUUUCGCCUUCUUCUCUUUUCCAUGAUGAAGAUGAUGAAGGCAAGGAUGUUGAAGAAGCUAACCUAAAUCAACUCCAGAAUUAUGAAGAGAGAACUCAUACUUUUGCUGGCGUGGUACUAACUAUUAGAGAGUUUUCAUUUCAUCAAUUCAAUGCAAAUUUACUAUGGCCAGGAACCUUUGCAUUCUGUGAGUGGUUAAGUCAAAAUAGAUCUCUCAUAGAAGGACAGCGCAUCUUGGAGUUGGGAAGUGGAACUGGAGCUUUGGCCAUUUUCAUCAGAAGAUUUUUUGGAGUCGACAUCACUACAUCUGAUUUUGAUGAUGAGGAAGUGGAAGAAAAUAUAGCUUACAAUUGCAAAGCUAAUGAAGUAAAGGUCUUGCCACAUGUUAGACAUACUUGGGUAGAAACCUUUCCAGUUCUGGAACCGGACUGGGAUUUGAUCAUUGCGACUGACAUUCUGUUAUAUGUGAAGCAGUACCCCAACUUGAUCAAAACACUUUCCUUUCUCCUCAAAAACUACAAGCAAAGAAAUAUUAAGAGUGAAGUAACUGAAAGUUCUCAGCAUAGGAGGAUUCUUACAGCAUCAGGAGAGGAAUUGCAGCUGCAGCAACCUGUAUUCUUGAUGAGCUGGCGGCGUAGGCUUGGUGGAGAGGAAUCACUUUUUUUCUCUGGUUGUGAGGAUGCUGGACUCGUUACUACGCAUAUUGGAUCUCGUGUUUAUUGCAUCAGUUCUAGAAGAGAGACAUGAUUUAUGUGGACAUCUAUAAUAUUAUAAAAGAGAUAGAGUAAGAGCCUCCAGGGAGUAAUUCCUAUUAUUGCAGGGAAGUUCCAGGACAACAGGAGAUGUGACGGCAAGGAAGGGCUAUGGCUUCCAGGCAGGAAAAGUAUCUAUGGCUGAGAAGCUUCGAUCGGCUCUGAUCAAAUCAUUGGGAAAGGAUCGUAGAGAGCUGCGGCUAAGAAUGGAUCGUAGAGACCUACGACUAAGAGGUUUCAUCUGACUCUUAUCAGAUUGCUGGGAAAGGAUUAUAGAGACUUGUGGUUGUGAAAGUAUCGUAGAGACAUGGGGCUGGGAAAGGAAGACAACGACAGAUGGCCUUGGAAAGGAAGACAGCUGCAAAAGGGUCUCGUUGGAUGGGAAAGGAUCGCAGAGAUGUGCGGCUGAAAAAGGAGGACAGUGGCAGUGGGAUCUCAGAUCUAGGGUUUGCUCCCUAGUUCUGAUACCAGGAGUGGGCUUGAUGUGGCACCGAGGAAUCAUAAAAGAGAGAUGAAUCAACCAACCACUAGGAUUCAAAGUAAGAACAAAGUUGCAACAAACUAAAGGCACAUAACUGAGUACAAGGAGGAUAUUUACUUAGAAUUUGGAAGUUAUAUAUUUUAUAAUUUUAAUACAAGACUUUUUUUUUUUUGUGGCUAGAUCUUUGAUAUUGGUUUAUGUUAUCAGUGGUUGUCGUGGAUGUUUGAAAGCUGAACCCCAAGCAUUUUUCAAUGAUCUUGAUCAUUGCAGAGUGAGCAUGGAAUUGAUGUUGAUGUGUCAGACACCUUUUUAUAUAAUUAUCAGUUUGUGUGAUUACAUUUCUUGUGCAACAACAUUCGAAUGAAUUUGAAAACUCUUAUCAUCCAAUUCUGAAAUAUUGUGAU